CAGCCGCCGCGGGAAUACGUAGGGUACAAGCGUUAAUCGGAAUUACUGGGCGUAAAGCGUGCGCAGGCGGUUAUAUAAGUCAGAUGUGAAAUCCCCGGGCUCAACCUGGGAACUGCAUUUGAGACUGUAUGGCUAGAGUGUGUCAGAGGGGGGUAGAAUUCCACGUGUAGCAGUGAAAUGCGUAGAUAUGUGGAGGAAUACCGAUGGCGAAGGCAGCCCCCUGGGAUAACACUGACGCUCAUGCACGAAAGCGUGGGGAGCAAACAGGAUUAGAUACCCCCGUAGUCCCUGUCUCUUAUAC
rnacentral:rRNA from 1 species